UACGUAGGUGGCGAGCGUUGUCCGGAUUUAUUGGGUUUAAAGGGUGCGUAGGCGGCCUUAUAAGUCAGUGCUGAAAUAUCCCGGCUUAACCGGGAGGGUGGCAUUGAUACUGUAGGGCUGAGUAAAGUUGAGGUAGGCGGAAUUGACGGUGUAGCGGUGAAAAAUGCUUAGAUAUCGUCAAGAACACCGAUAGUGUAGACAGCUAC
rnacentral:rRNA from 1 species